GACGAACGCUGGCGGCGCGCUUAACACAUGCAAGUCGAGCGAAGCGGCGGACGGGUGAGUAACCCGUGAGUAACCUGCCUUAGACAUUGGGAUAGCCUAGAGAAACCUGGUUUAAUACCAACUGGUCUAAGAUGGACUCGCGUCCCAUUAGCUAGUUGGUGAGGUAACGGCCCACCAAGGCGACGAUGGGUAGCCGGCCUGAGAGGGUGAACGGACACAUUGGAGCGGAGAAACGGUCCAAACUCUACGGGAGGCAGCAGUGGGGAAUAUUGCACAAUGGAGGGAACGCUGAUGGAGCGACGCCGCGUGAACGAAGAAGGCUUUCGAGUAGUAAAGUUCUUUUAUAUGGGAAGCGGUACCAUAAGAAAAAGCCCCGGCUAACUACGUGCCAGCAGCCGCGGUAAUUC
rnacentral:rRNA from 1 species